rnacentral:misc_RNA from 1 species
GAUUAAAUCGAGAGCGUCUUCAUUGACCUCUCACCCUUCACAUCCACAUACACCUGUGCACCGUUUGGCUCUUUUAAAAGACGUAAGUCUGCAAAGAGAGUCAUCAAUUUUAUACAUACACAAAGUCUAAUGAAUGUAAACGUUUUAUAUAAACAAAAUAAAACUUUCAACAACGGAUCUCUUGGUUCU